GAGGACUGGAACUUGGAAAGGUUUUCUCCUACAUCUGCACAGCCUAAACCGACUGCCAGCCCCCAAAGACUUAGAACUUUUGCCCUCAAACUUUCUUCUAUGGAAACUUCUAAAAACAAAUCUGAUGUUGCACCCCACUACUAAGAUCUGACACUAUCCCCAGAAAAACAAUUAUUUAGGUGGCUGAUGUCUAGUUUCUGUCUGCAAGGAGGAACCUUACUUGGUUAUUUUCAAGACAUGCGUGGGUUCAUCCCUCCCUUGGCUGUCCCAGGAGCUGAGAUCACUCAGAUGUGCUGCACUGCAACUGGUGGGAAGAGGCCGUGAUCACUACUGCAGCCUCGUCAUGGCAGAGCAUCAACAGACUUCUCCAGAGUCCAGGUAAAUACACGGUAAGGCACAAGGGGAACCUGCCUCCCUUUUUGCUGCAAUUGCAGCGGCAGCACGCGUGACGACGGCAGGCCCCUCCAGGAGAUCCCCUGCGCUGGGACAAGUCCAUCGGGAAGCAAAGGCUCAGUGCAGGCUGCUCCAGCCUGUUGCCACAGGCAGCUCACGGCAAUAAAGGCUGUUAGCUCAACUUCUCCGCACUACUGGAAACGCUAGCAGCCAUACACCACCAAGGAAAACGCUUCCACAACCUGCAGCUGUGCAGGAACAGUCAUUCCCUAAGCACAGCAGCAUUGCACAAGGAGAAAGGGAGGAGAAUCAGAGCAGACCCAGCUGCACAUUCCCGUCUCGGGAGAUGAUGACACUUUGCAUGUUGCUGCAUGGCCACGUACCAGAGAUCUGCUACCCCUCACCUAACAGCUCUGGCCGGCUGUGCAAAUAAGCCACGCUCAGCCGGGGAAGCUGGAGUGCCACGUCGGGCCACUGGCGGAGGGAAGGGAGGUUCUGGAGGCGAGUUCUGCUCUCACCAGACUGCUCGUGCCACCUCAGCGUGCACUGCUACUGCCACACAGCCUUGCUGCUGGCUCAGGCAAAAUGCAGCACUUUGAGACCCCAGCUGGUACACCACCAGGUCAGCUUUGGCAGAAACCCUGCACUGCCGACGCCAAGAGGAUGUGCCCGCAAGUGACUGUCCAGUGUUUGCAGCCCUUCUCCUGCAAUCCACGCUGUUACUGGGAAUCUCCAGCAUGCUCCCUCGCUGCAGGAAAGCCCUUCAUGUCUAUGGGCCUUCUCCUUCCCCAUAAGAGAAGCGUUUAAAGUAAGAGCUAUCUAGAACCUCAAGAUCCUGCACCCUGCACCUCUCCUCAUGGCUGGCUGAGAGCAUCCAACUGGUGUCACAGACACAGACACAUGAAGAAAAUCCCCAACCUCGUGCAUGGAGUUCUUGUACCUUAUUUCUGGAAACAGUUCUAGUAAGUAAGGUUUGGUUCAAGCAGCAGGCUUCCAGGCUUCGCAAGUAGGAAGCUUGGUUAGAGAAAGCUUAAAAAAAGGGGCUUGGCAAAAACCUCUGGUAGCUCCCCGUGAAGUCAGCUUAUCUGAUGGCCAAAGGCAGCCUGUGCAUUGACAACGGCAUCUCCUGGAACAGAGCAGGGAGGGUAACCAGCCCCACAGCCCAGGGAUCAGGGUUAAAAGCAGGGCUUACCUGGGACGUCCGGUGGGCCCACAGGGGCAGGGCACUUCUCACUCAGAGGGAGCAUCCUAUUUCCUUCCUCCUGAUUUCCUUCCCCUGAUGUUGUUCCCUCUGUUGUGCUACUGAUCAGGAACAGCAGCACAGAAAAUCCAACCAGCAGAUUCACUGAGAAUGAAUUUUACUAACAGAAAAUCAUCAGGAGGUAUCUUCCUGCAAAUGUAAACACUGAUAUAAUUGCCUUCACUCUGCAUUUACACUGUGAUUCUGAAGGAGAGGGAACUCCCUGCAGCCUCAUUAUGCAAAUAGAACAAGCCCUAUACAAGCUGCAUAUAGAACAUGCAAAUCAGGGUCUGCAGGAUGGAGAAGACUCCCAGAGCUGGGGUCUGAUUUCCUAGAAGACUAGCUUCCUUUUUGGUAGCUUAAGUAGCACUUCAGAACAUUUCUACUGGAAUCACUACUUCAAUCUUAUAAAAUAUAUAUAUAUAUACACACACAUAUAUACACACACACGCGGAGGAUAUUUCAUGAUUUGCAACAAGCCCAGACUCCCAAAUACAAGCCAGACUUUCUCAGCUGUUACAAAGAGGGUCCAGGUUAAUGGAGGCAACCCAGCAACGCUGUUAAAAUAAAUGCUUUCCUUAUGAUGUGGUGUUGGGAGAGAUCAGGAAACAGGAGAGAGCUGCUAACCCGCUGCUCCAGAGACCAGCCUGGAUCACAACCUGCGCGAGCCCUCAGCUGGCCGGGGCACCCGGAGCUGGCCGCGGAGAGCUCGCCUGCCCAUCCGAGGGCACUUCCCUCCCUGCUAGACGGAGAGCCGCUCCUCCCGACACAACCCACCCAGCAAACUCCAGGCUCCCUGGGAGCCUUCCCCGGAGGCAGCGGCUCCCUGCCCACCUCGGGGAGGUCGGCUGCCCUCGGGGCUGGAGCAGGAGGCUUGGGAAGGGGAGCAGGAGCCGGCAGCCCAAGGGCAACAAGCGUCUCCAGGAGGGCCCCGCGGCUCGGGCUGCCCUGGCCGUCCCUCCCGGGCGGAUUUCGGUCACACUCGGCAGCCGGGCAGCGCUGAGCACUCUCACGCCCGGCAGCUUCCCCUGCCACAGCGAUAAGCAGCUGCCGAACUCCAGCCUGGCCCAAAGCCUCCCUGCACCCCAGCUCUGCGAAACAGGAAUAGCGACCUGGGCUGGCCUUGCAGGCUCACAGGGUGCUCAGGGUGGCAGCGAAGGCCAUGCCGGACCUUUGCAGAUGAACUGCAUGGCCGAGGCCAGCUCUAAAGCCAAAUCAUGGUCCAGGCGAAGGUCUCAGGGCCAGCCUGUGGCACGGCAGAUCAGCCCACACCGCGCGACUCCCCCACGGCACCACCAGCAGCAAAGUCAUCACCAGCGACUGGGAUCCCUGACCAGCAUCCUGGAUGCCGUGGCAGUCGGUCUCUCUCUUCGCACACCGUUACGUUUAUUAAAAGAACACCCACACAUGCCCACCCAGCAACUCAUCAAGCAAACACCGUCCUACAGGUCUUGCCAAAUGAGUACACGGGACAGCAUUGUGCCUGGGACCUGUUAGCACUGCUGCACCAAAGCGCUGCACAAGAGCAGCACAAAGGGAACCGCACUCGUACACACCUCCCUUGGGUUUAACACAUUAGCUUUCUAUCUUUUCAUCAGCAAUCGCAGACAGAUUUUCUCAGCGUGAGAACUGCCAUGGAAAUUGAAAAAUUGUAUGGCAAACAUUUUUUUCCUUGAUGCCCUGUCUAAUUGUGCUGUCUUUGAUUUUAUUAAUCUGUUUUUAUUAAUAUCCUGAAGGCAAGAGGAAAAAACAAAAAGAGCUUUUGCUAUCUGAAAUGGUUGGUGCUGCUUGUGCUUUCUGUCUAUUAAAGGAAGAAGUUACACGAGUAGCUAGGACUGGGGCACCUGCCUUUCUGGAAGAACAAGGAAUAAGCCUUUUUAAGUGUCCUCUUAUUCCUUGGAUAUGGGGCCAAGUCCCAGCCUUGCAGACUUCCUGCAAUUCCUCUAGAGCCAUCUGUUGCCUGAUAGCAGGAGAAGAUGCCGAGAAAAAGGCACCCCAGGCCUAUCUCAGCUGUAGCAGAUUUUUCUGUGUACAUCCCUGUCUGCCUAGAUCGACUGUCUUCUCGCACUGUGCUUACCAUCCCAUCAUUUUUAGGUACCUAAAAAGUAGAAGCUUCAUGAAGUCUGUACAGAAGCUAAUAGGUUUUACCUACAAGUGGCCAUGCAAGCGAACGACAUUACCGGCCUGUAUUAAGAGCUGCUUCUCAAACAUCAGUGAAUUCCCAGCGGAUCUUGGACGCGACUGUGUGAAAGUCUCGCCAACUGGCCAGUUUGAAGAAAAGCACUCCCCUUGCCCCCCAGCAUCUAGAUGGCCUCUUUUGAGGUCAGCCGGGCAUUAAUAUCAAUGCUGUUGUUACUGCUCUGUAAUUCGCACACAACUGUGCCCAGAAGUCUCACCUGAGGUUGGGCGUUGUUGAAUUGUACGCUAUAUAAUCUGUAACAGCCUGCCAAGCAGCCCGCAGUCCCGAAGAGGAAAGGCAGACAAAGCUGGACGGAGAAGGAAGGCUGUAAUCCACUUUACAAAAACGGCACCAAGGCAGAGAAGACGGACUCAACCCAGCGUUCAAUCCCGGGACCCCACGUUAUCUCCACACGAAGCCGGAGCCCUCCCGCAGCAGCUCGCGGCGGGCAGACGCCACGGGCACCGCAGCCCCCGCGGGACGGCUGGCAGAAACCCGCUGCUCUGGGCUCCGCCAUCCCGACAGCACCCGCCUCGCUGCCACUCGGCGCUGGCCGUGUCUCCUCUUCAGCACCACGGCUGCGCUUCAUUACCCAAAAUCAUUUUCUGUUUCGCUAUCCGGCAAGGAGCAGGCUAGUCUCCAGGCAUUAGAGCCAGCCAGUGUCCAUUUCAGCAGCCACCAUGUGUGUGUUCUCAAAGGACCGUUACCCCUGCACGCUUCUGAGACAGAUGCUAACAUCGAUACCACCAGCACAAGCGUAUUACAGCAACAGGAACCACUUCACCCCAGAGCCAACUGCUGACCUUCAAAUACUUCUCACAUAAAGCAUGGUUUGUGUUUACAUAUACACACACACGUAUGAAAAGAAACAAGUAAACUUUAACUUGCAGAAGUGCACUUUCAAUUUCAACUUUCUGGUCUUAUAGACCAGCAAAAGCUGUUUCAGCCCAGCAAGAAAUUCCAGUAUACUGGAAAACACAAUGGAAAAAUCUCUAAAGGUGACCGCAACCUACAGACCACCACAGCCUACAGAAUUCUAAUCCAGACUUUAGACUGCUGAAUGUCUGAAUUGGAAAGGUUUCUUGGGGUCAUUUCUGUCUCUAACGUACCCAUUUUCACUUGUUUAAGAUCAGCGAUGCUCUGUAGGCACAAACACACAGCGACAGCGCACGUGUCGCUCCCCGGCUCUCAUUCCAGCACCCCCAGAACCCUGCCAGGCCCUGGGGUGGCACAGGAGGGACAGCCCUGUCCCUCGCGUCCUGGGAGGUACUGGGCUGGCCACGACGGGAAAAACAACAAACCAGGCUUUCAGCUGCUGAGCAGGAUCUUUAUUUUAAUGCUGAGAUGUGUACAGUAAUAGCACAUGUGGGAUUAUUGACGUUCACUUUGUACUUGCCUGUAAAAUGCACUGACACAGUAUAUUGCAUGGUCAAUAGGUCUUUAGGGUUUUUCCAGCAGUAUUAAAUAUCAUUUUAUAUGA